CUGUUCGUAAGCCGAUUACAGGGGAGGGUAGGAAUAGCCGAAGACCGGGUCAUCAGUCACCUACAACUUGGGCGCCUACAUUUUCCUGUCGAAGUACAGAAGCCGUACAGAACAGGUCGUACAAAGCCCGCCGUCCACAUUGGCAAAGCUCGCCACCGACUACAUUCAUCAGCAGGUGCCCUGCAAUCUGCCAUUAAGCCACCCCAAAGGUGUCUCUGUUUUACGGACGAAAUAUGUAGAAGUCCCGAAGAAGGGAACAGACAAACAUACGGGUGAAUAUCAUCAAUCAAGGCUUUCCUUACACAUUAACAUGUUUACAUUUACAUGACUGAUCGACAUCAAAGACUUACUAGCAUGGAUUCGUGGCCUUUUCAUCUUACGACGGGAUUGGCAACCACCAUGCGCCCUCUCAUACUCAAACACAUUUCUACCACCAUCCCCUCAGCAGCAUCCACAUGAAAAUGUUUGCGUGGAUGGUUCGGUUGCGGCCCUACCUAAUUCUGAAGCCUGGAGCUCAUUACCAAGAGCCAACUGUGCCUUCCUACACUUCGAAAACCCAGCUAAACCUAGUCCGCCAAAGCACGAGCGACGGCUCGCCAGAGUUCACUUAGUCGUGUGUGCGACAGUGGUGGCGAGCCUCUUCUCUUUGCCAUGCUGAAAUGCAAUAGUGUGUAAUUUUCUCUUCGUGGUGGAAUGCUGACGUUGACAAUUAGUAGAUAGACAUGAGGCCAGCGACUUGCUUUGGUGAGCCAGCACUGCUGACUCGAUGCUUAGCGUUGACAACCUCGUUUGAAAGGAAAGGCCUGGUAGCCCUCCACGGUAAUUGAGUACGUGCAUAGGAUGAAUGUCAAAUGGAUGAGAUCUUAAACUUGUAAUGAUGCAUGAAACAGCUGGGCCAAAUCGCCGCACCCUACGUAUUCUGAGGCGGCACAAAGGCUGGAAAUUAAAACCACAAAACCGCACAAAACCGAUCUCGCAAAACCGCACAAACCGAACACAUGUAGACGAGGGACUUACGACACAGAGGACAUCAUGAAGAAACGCAAAGCAUUAUCCCGUAUCUUUAAACUUCAGAACCAGCUUUAUCCUCAGCACGUUCCGUUGUGGCCUUCGUUACCUGCGAUAGUCCGACUGCUCACUCGUUACGUGAAACGGACGGGCGGUAAGUCGGCGUGCAUUUACGUAUGCUUCCGGAAUCGAAGUUGACUGUAAAUUCGACAGACUUGUUGACGGCUGGCAGCAAAGCUUUACUUUGGAGGCGGUNNNNNNNNNNNNNNNNNNNNNNNNNNNNNNNNNNNNNNNNNNNNNNNNNNGGUGGGGGAGGAGACGGAGGUGGCCUGGGCGGCGGUGGGCUUGGGGGAGGCGAUAACUUUGGCGGUGGUGUCCUCGGAGGAGGAGGCGGCGGCGGUGGCCUAGGUGGAGUCGGGUUUGGGGGCGGAGGAGGCGUAGGUGGCCUGGGCGGCGGUGGUCUUGGAGGAGGCGGUGACUUGGGUGGCGGUGGACUUGGAGGAGGCGGCGGUGGCGGCGGGCUUGGAGGAGGCGGUGACUUGGGGGGCGGUGGGCUUGGAGGAGGCGGCGGUGGCGGCGGGCUUGGAGGAGGCGGUGACUUGGGGGGCGGUGGGCUUGGAGGAGGCGGCGGUGGCGGCGGGCUUGGAGGCGGCGGUGACUUGGGGGGCGGUGGGCUUGGAGGGCGGCGGUGGCGGCGGGCUUGGAGGCGGCGGACUGGGGGGCGGUGGGCUUGGAGGCGGUGGGGGCGGUGGGCUUGGAGGAGGAGGCGGGUUAAAAGAUUGAGGUGGUAGGGGCUCCAAAACGAAGCCGCAGUUCUCCACCGCGAACUUUGUCACCCAGUUAUCAUCAUCAAAAUCCUUAU
rnacentral:lncRNA from 1 species